UGAGUACCAAAUGGAGUACAAACUCAUGCGUUGGCAUCUUUCUGGUUUUGUUUCUUUGUAGGUGCGGCAAUAGCUAUGUUAUUCUGCAUAAUUUUAUCAUUUUUUCUGCAUAACUCUAUCAUUUUUCUGCAUAAUUUAUUCCUUCUUUCUCUCUACUCGCUACUUAAUUUCACAUUUAAAACUGGUUAACCAGUUUCAAGUUUCAACUGAAGCCGGCUUUUAGCUCACAACACAACACAAACACUCUCUGCACGUUCCUUCAUCAAAAAAAAAGUUUCAAACUUUGCUUCACUUGAAACAAAAACCAGAAGGCAUAUCCUCUUUUAGCCAUCCCUCUGAUCCCGUUUUGUCCACUUUGGACCACUCAGUAAAGUUGCAAACUCAACAUCCUCCUACCUUUUUUAAUAAUUCAAACCCCUCUUUAUGGCAUUCUUUUUCAUUUCACUCUUAGAUGCUUCUUUUAUUGCAUUCCUUGUUAGGUUUGAAUCAAUCAAAUUCACUGCUCUGCUAACUUUUCCAACCAUUUAAAUCCUCUGCUGUACUCUCCUCUUUCUCUUAUCAAACACUUUCCUUUUUUUCCUUUACCCUCUCACCCUUUCACCCUUCUUCCACCUUCCAAACUUUUUUUUCAACCAAAUGGCCGUUGAUCUUUGCUCAGAAAACUGCGGAGUUUCUUCCUCUUCCGUCAGUCCAAGAAUCUCAUUCUCACACGACUUUUCCCACUCUGAUGUCAUUCCCGUUGAGCAACUCCCUUUCAGAUCAAAUUUGAAUUCCGGCAUUGAUUUUGAUUUUUACGUGAGUGAGAGCUUCGAGCUUGAGUCAUCUUCAGCUGAUGAACUUUUCUCACACGGGAGGAUCCUUCCCACUGAGGUGAAGAGAAAGAACGUUCCUGCAAAGCAAACGGUGCAAUCGGCACCGAAGAAUAAUCCUCCAUUGCCUCCUCCUUAUGCUGCUUAUGCUCCACCUAACACUAUCUCAAAGAAAGAGAACCCCAAAGAAAGCAAGUGUUUGAACGAUGAAGUGUACGAGAAGCAAAGUUCCAAGUCCUUCUGGAUCUUCAAAAGAAGUAGCAGCUGUGGAAAUGGACACAGAAGGAGCUUCUGUCCCUUGCCACUUCUAUCGAGAAGCAAUUCAACUGGGUCAUCAACACCGAGUGUUAAGAGGAAUAAUCCACUCUCAAAGGAGGGUGUUGUGAAUGUUAAGCCAAAUUCCCAGAAACAUUCUUCCACAAGGUUGACUCACCCCUACGUGGGUUAUUAUCAAAAACCUCCGUUGAGUUACAAGAAUCAUGGAUCCUAUGGUAGCAGUGUUAGAGUGAAUCCUGUCCUGAAUGUUCCUCCUGCAAACCUAUUUGGUUUGGCUUCAAUCUUCUCCGGCAAUAGAGACAAGAGCAAGAGGCAGCAUUAGUUUUCUUGGGGUCGGUCUAUGUUGUUUUUUCUUAGGUUUACCAGUUACCAUGUGAACUAGAAAAAAAAAAUGAGGUAUAGGUAAAACUUUGAAUGGUGAAUGGUUUUGCAUCGUGAAGACAAAGUGGUACAAAGAGAGAUGCGUGUGAAGGUGAUGGACAAGAAUGAUAUAAUGCAAGCACAUGUUUUGGGGCACAAAAUGACAGGACAAAUUCUGCGCUACUCAAACUUUGGUUCAAAAGUUUAUUCAACAAUGUGCUUUCAAUCAACUAGAGAAUCAUCCUUGGUUGCAAUGAUAUUUGCAAGGGCGGUCAAGUGUGACAUGGAUAAAUUUAAUGGAAGGAUCAACUUUGGCUUGUGGCAAACUCAAGUCAAAUAUGUGUUGAUACAAUUCUGGAUUGCACAAGACUUUAAAAGGAAAAACUUCUAAAUUGGAGGAAGAGAAGUGGGACUUGAAGGCUUAUAUCAGGCAAAGAGCAUCUCAAAUCGGUUGUUGUUAGAGAAGUUUCAUAACCUACGCAUGAGUGAUGAUACAAAAAUCUCUAAUCAUCUUAGCAAUUGUCUCUAAACUAGAGAUGAUUGGAGAUAAGAUUGAAGAAGAAGAUGUAGCUCUAAGGCUCAUUUGGUCUCUUCCGUCUUCUUACGAGCUUAUCAAGCCAGUCUUGAUGUAUGAAAAGAAAACCUUGACCGUUAAUGAAGUUGCUUGUAAGAUUUAUUUUGAAGAAAGGAGGAUGAAAAGUGAUGAAAACAUGUCAACUAACUCUAUAAUCACCGUUAGGAGUGGAACACAUGUGAACAAGAACUACAAGAAAAAAGUAAUAUAUUGGAAAUGUGGAAAAUCUAGGCAUCUAAAGAAAAAUUGUCCAAAUGGAGGAACAUCAUGGAAAGAUAGUCAUAUUUAAAAGGAAGAAAGAGCUUUU